rnacentral:lncRNA from 1 species
CAGAGUUUCGAGAUAGAAAUUAGAGCUUAGAGAAUAACGUAUCUGGGGUCCCCCUUUUUAUAGGCGGAGGGUACAACAGACUGAUAGCGACGUUUGUAACCGCCUGGUUGUGGGCCGCUCAGGGCCAGGAGGAGUUUGUUAGGAAGAGUAAUGGAGUGGAAUCGUGGCCAUCACCGUGGCCUGCCACAUGGAGCCUGUUGCGGGAAGUGGAGCAGAGUCGUGGCCAUUACUGUGGCUUGCCAGGGAGUGAUGGAGCCGCAUGGAAUCCAUCACAGGAAGUGGAGUAGAGUUGUGGCCA